rnacentral:rRNA from 1 species
AUACGUAGGGGGCGAGCGUUGUCCGGAAUUAUUGGGCGUAAAGGGCGCGUAGGCGGAGAUAUGUGUCAGCUGUGAAAACUACGGCUUAACUUGUAACGUGCAGCUGAAACUGUAUCCCUUGAGUGCAGGAGAGGAAAGUGGAAUUCCCAGUGUAGCGGUGGAAUGCGUAGAUAUUGGGAGGAACACCAGUGGCGAAGGCGGCUUUCUGGACGUUAACUGACGCUGGGGCGCGAGAGCGUGGGGAGCAAACAGGAGUAGAUGCCCUGUUAGUCCACGCCGUAAACGAUGGAUACUAGGUGUAGGUGUCGAUAGGCAUCUGUGCCGUAGCGAACGCAAUAAGUAUCCCGCCUGGGGAGUACGGCCGCAAGGUUGAAACUCAAAUGAAUUGACGGGG